ACGAACGCUGGCGGCGUGCCUCAUACAUGCAAGUUGAGCGCUGAAGGUUGGUACUUGUACCGACUGGAUGAGCAGCGAACGGGUGAGUAACGCGUGGGGAAUCUGCCUUUGAGCGGGGGACAACAUUUGGAAACGAAUGCUAAUACCGCAUAAAAACUUUAAACACAAGUUUUAAGUUUGAAAGAUGCAAUUGCAUCACUCAAAGAUGAUCCCGCGUUGUAUUAGCUAGUUGGUGAGGUAAAGGCUCACCAAGGCGAUGAUACAUAGCCGACCUGAGAGGGUGAUCGGCCACAUUGGGACUGAGACACGGCCCAAACUCCUACGGGAGGCAGCAGUAGGGAAUCUUCGGCAAUGGACGAAAGUCUGACCGAGCAACGCCGCGUGAGUGAAGAAGGUUUUCGGAUCGUAAAACUCUGUUGGUAGAGAAGAACGUUGGUGAGAGUGGAAAGCUCAUCAAGUGACGGUAACUACCCAGAAAGGGACGGCUAACUACGUG
rnacentral:rRNA from 1 species